rnacentral:lncRNA from 1 species
GUCAAGUACAGUCUAAAACCAUGAUAUAGUAUACAUGUUUUAAGACCAGCAUAGUAAAAAAAAGAGAAAGGUAUGGUCUUUCUUGUGUUCAGAUAGUUUUAUUGUAGCAAAUUAUUCAAUAUGAAAAAGUUUUGGGUAGUUUUUUUUAAUUUUGACAUAAACAAGAGGCCCACUUGGGUAGAUUUUAUUGAAAAAAGGGGCAGGAGUAAACUAUUGAAUGUGCUUCAAUCAAACAAAAGGCAAAAAAUAAAAAUAAUAGAUAAACAUACUCGUCUAGCUUCACAG